UACGGAGGGGGCAAGCGUUGUUCGGAAUUACUGGGCGUAAAGGGCGCGUAGGCGGCUUAUCAAGUCAGGCGUGAAAUUCCCGGGCUCAACCUGGGGGCUGCGCUUGAUACUGAUGAGCUUGAAUGCGGGAGAGGAUAGUGGAAUUCCCAGUGUAGAGGUGAAAUUCGUAGAUAUUGGGAGGAACACCGGUGGCGAAGGCGGGUCUCUGGGCCGAUACUGACGCUGAGGAGCGAAAGCGUGGGGAGCGAACAGG
rnacentral:rRNA from 1 species